UGAAGAUGAAGUCUUCCAUGAAGCUGUUUGCAGCAUUGUUGCUUGUUGUCAUGUGUCUAGUGGCCAAUGAAAUGGGUGGUCCGAUGGUGGUGGAAGCGAGAACAUGUCUGUUCCAGAGCCACAAGUUCCAGGGGGCGUGCUUUAGCGACACCAACUGUGGUAAUGUUUGAAAAUCUGAAGGGUUUCUUAGAGGAACGUGUCGUGGUUUUCGACACGGGUGCUUCUGUGCCUCACCCUGUUAGAUCGAUCCUUAAUUGUCUACAGCUGCUACUUCAUGGCCGACUAGUUGACUUGCAAUCUUGCAUGUUUGUAUUUUACGGUGUGUUUAUUUUUACCUGCUUAAGUAGUUUCUCGUCGUAUACUUGGCUUAGGAAACCAAUUAACUCCAUGUUGGGAUAUAUAUCCGUGUGAAAGUAAAACAAUGAAUAGUCAAAUAUUUACAUAAA